GCGAAAUGGUUUUGAAUAACAAACACCAAAAGUGAAAAGGACUCUUCGAUGAUAUCUAAGAUUAAAAGAAACAAGAAUUUAAUACAUAAAUGAUCCAAUGCCAGUGAGUAUUGUAUAUUAAUUAUAAUUUCAUAUAUCAAAAAAUUAUAGCUAUAACACUAGUGCGACCACAUUAUUAUUGUGUCACAUGAUUCUAAUAUUUUAGAAGAUCCACGGCACACAAGUAUGCAAGACUCACGUAUUGGUACUAUUGCACGUAUUGGUGAUAGGAAUGUGUAUUUUAAUCGUAAAUGUCUCUUAUUAAAAUAUUUAAUACACAUUAAAAACUUUCAAAACACAUAAUUUGAUUAAUUUUGAGAAGCAUGUCUGUUUGUCCUAUUAAACAACACUCUGACGUUCUAAUGGAUGAUUUCACAAUAUCUGAUACAAAUUAAAUGCAUGUAGAUACAGUUUUUGUUUAAAUUUAUAAAUAAUAUUAAUCUGUCUAUUAAAAUAUCUUUUAGAUUUCCACUUUUAUUACAUUAACUAGUUCUUUGUGAUAGGAAUGUGUAUUUUAAUCAUAAAUAUGUUUUAUUUAUAAUUCCACAAUAUCUGAUGCCAAUUAGAAAACUUAAUAAUUCAUAAUUUGUUUAAAUUUGAAUAGCAUGGCGGUUUAGUAUACUAACCAUCACUCUGACUUCAACUUUUAAUAAUGAAUAAUCUAAAAUUUUGUGAUAGGAUUGUGCAUUAUGUUCAGACAUGCGUUUUGAUACAUAAUUUUACAAAAUUAUAUCCAAAUGAAAUACAUAGAAAUGUAUAAUUUGUGUAAAUUUGAAUAGCAUAUUGUUUGCUAAUACCAGGGCAUCCCUUUAAUUUGAUACAUUUUACUCUUAUAAUUGAAUAUUCUAUACCUAUAAGAGAUACAUUGUUUUGAUUUAUUUUCAUAUGGCAGUUAUUUUGCAUGAAUAAUCCUUAUGACUUAAAUUUUUUAUAGUACAUUAUCUAAUUUAUUGUGAUAGGGAUGUUUCUUUAUGUUUAGUUUCACAAUAUAUGAUACAUUUUAAAAACUUAAAAAUAUAUAAUCUAUUCAAAUUUGAAUAGCAUGGUGGUUUGCCUAUACAAAACAUAUUUCUGAUUUGUACUUUUAUUAAUAAAUUAUCUGGUUUAUUGUGAUAUAAAUGUUUAUUAUGAUCAGACAUACAUUUUAAAAUAAAAUAUCACCAUAUUUGAUAAAAAAUAAUACAUGUUGACACAGUUUUCGUUUGAACUUAUAUAUUAUAUUAGUUUUCCUAUUAUAAUCAUCCUUUGUAUAGAAGUUUGUUUAUAAUUCCUUCCAAUCUAAAGUUUUGUGAUAGGAAUAUGUUUUAUGAGCAGACAUACUUUUGCUUAAUUGAUACUACAAUUGAUUUUUUAAAUUAUUUUAGCCUUGGUCAAUUAAAAAAAAUAGUUCAGUAUUAAAUAAACUAUAUUUACUCUCUUUUGUUUAAAAUUUUUCUGCCGCCCAUUUUACUCCAUUAAAAAAUAACAUACAAAUUUAUUUGUAGAAAUUUGUAUCUAUUUCAAAAUGCAUUAAGAAAGUCAUCUAUUUGAUUUUUAUAGUAUUUUUCAUUAUAAUCGUAGACAAAUGUGAAAAUUUAUGCCAACAACAUUUUCAUUAUUUUGGAUUAGUUUUUUUUUUUUUGUUAUAAUUUCACAAUAAAUAAUUAAUAAUUAAAUAAUUAAUCACACAAUAAAAGAUAAAAGUUAAAAUUUUUAGCAAAAAUCAAGUCUUGUAAAAACAUAUUUAAACUUUACUCAGAAUCAUAUUUCAUUAGCAUAUAUCAUUACAUAUAGAUGUAAAAUAAAAAGUUGUAUGUAUUCUACUUUUCUAACUUUUUAAAAUUUGUUUGUCAUUUUAAACAUUAUUUAAAUGUUUUUAGGUUAUGACUUACUGGGUUCUAAUAAUUUGUCUUUUAGAAAAUGAAAAUGCUAUUUUUUAUUCUUAUUUUUUAAAAUAAUAUAAUAUUUUACCUAUUAUAGUAUUAGCAUUGUUUAUUCUCACUUAUAUAGGAGUAUAUAAUUCCUGUCAAAAUAUUUUUUUUCUUGUUUCUAGUAUUUUAAUUUGUAUAUUAACUAUUAAAUACCUCUAUAUUUUUGAAUAAGAUUAUUUUUACCAGUAAAAUAUCAUUUUAAUGAUUUUGUUUUUCAGAUUAUUUUAACUUGGAUGAUGUGUCUUAGUUUGUCAAUAAAUAUAUUGAUUUACUGAAUGUUUAUUGUAAAAUUGAGUGUAUAUGCAAUAUAAGUAUAUGUUAGUUAUAAUUUAUUCCAUGUGAUUUGAUGAGUUAAGAUAUUAGAUAUCUUAGAAACGUUCAGUUUGUUGAUCUUUGGAUCUGGUUUUAUGCCAAGUCGACAGUCAUAUAGGUCAUAAGGCCUACUCAAAUUGUGUCAGAAUACGUUUGCGAUUUGUUGAAAAAUGUAGAAAAAUAUACAUUUUUUACUCUAACCACUAAAAUAAUAUUUUUCAAGACCAAAGAAUGCUAUUUCACAUUUAUUUAAAAAAA
rnacentral:lncRNA from 1 species